UGCGUAGGCGGGCUAAUAAGUCAGUGGUGAAAUCUCUCGGCUCAACCGGGAAACUGCCAUUGAUGCUGUUAGUCUUGAGUUCGGUUGAGGUAGGCGGAAUGUGUAAUGUAGCGGUGAAAUGCUUAGAUAUUACACAGAACACCAAUUGCGUAGGCAGCUUACUAGACCGACACUGACGCUGAGGCACGAAAGCGUGGGGAGCGAACAGGAUUAGAUACCCUGGUAGUCC
rnacentral:rRNA from 1 species